rnacentral:tRNA from 1 species
GGGUGGGAUAUGUGUCUUGCAUAGUUUACUCUGCAAAGGUGAAUUGGGCCUUUUGCCCCCACCCU